rnacentral:rRNA from 1 species
UAAAAUAAUUAAGGGCACACAAAGGAUGCCUAGGUAGUAAGAGCCGAUGAAGGACGUGGUAAGCUGCGAUAAGCCUAGAUAAGUUGCAAUCGAACGUAAGAGUCUAGGAUUUCCGAAUGGAGCAAUCUAUUAAGAUGGAGUCUUAAUACGAAAGAGGGAACCGCGUGAACUGAAACAUCUAAGUAACGCGAGGAAAAGAAAGUAAAAACGAUACCCAAAGUAGCGGCGAGCGAAAUGGGUCAAGCCUAAACCUUAAAUAUGUCAAGGAUACAGCCGUUGUAUUUAGGGGGUUGAGGGACAGAGUAGUGAAGAACUGUAAGAUAUUCAAUAUAGUGUAUUGAUGAAUUGGAAUUGUCUGGAAAGGCGAACCGUAGAAGGUGAAAGUCCUGUACAAGUAAAUCCUUACACAUAUAACUCUGCUCCCAAGUAACAUGGAACACGAGGAAUUCUGUGUGAAUCUGUGAGGACCAUAUCUCAUAAGGCUAAAUACUCUUACUAACCGAUAGCGCAUAGUACCGUGAGGGAAAGGUGAAAAGAACCCCUGGAGGGGAGUGAAAUAGAACCUGAAAUUGUGUGCUUACAAGCGGUCAGAGCCAGUAAUGGUGAUGGCGUGCCUUUUGGAGAAUGAUCCUGCGAGUUACGUUAAACGGCGAGGUUAAGUAUAACGGAGCCGAAGGGAAACCAAGUCUUAAUAGGGCGAUUUAGUCGUUUGGCGUAGACGCGAAACCUGGUGAUCUAAACCUGUCCAGGAUGAAGCUGUGGUAAGACACAGUGGAGGUCCUAACCCACCGCCGUUGAAAAGUUGGGGGAUGAGGUAGGUUUAGGGGUGAAAAGCCAAUCGAACCAGGAGAUAGCUCGUUCUCUCCGAAAUGCAUCUAGGUGCAGCCUUGAGUGUUCAAUUAUGGGGGUAGAGCACUGAAUGAUCUAGGGGGCGUAUUGCUUACUGAAAUCAAUCAAACUCCGAAUACCAUAAUUUAGAGCUCAGGAGUGAGACUAUGGGAGUUAACUUCCAUUGUCGAAAGGGAAACAACCCAGACCACCAGCUAAGGUCCCUAAUUAUAACUAAGUGGGAAAGGAGGUGGAGAUUCACAAACAACUAGGAGGUUGGCUUAGAAGCAGCCAUACCUUUAAAGAGUGCGUAAUAGCUCACUAGUCGAGAGUCUCUGCGCCGACAAUGUAACGGGGCUAAGUUAUAAACCGAAGCUGUGGAAUCCGUAAGGAUUGGUAGGAGAGCGUUCUGUAGGCCGUUGAAGGAGAAGGGUAACCGACUCUGGAGGUAUCAGAAGUGAGAAUGCAGGAAUAAGUAGCGAGAAAGGGGGCGAGAAUCCCCCUCGCCGGAAGACCAAGGUUUUCAGGGUAAAGCUUGUCUUCCCUGAGUAAGCCGGGACCUAAGCCCAGGCUAUAAUGCGUAGGCGAAUGGAAAACAGAUUAAUAUUUCUGUGCCAGUCAUAUAUUGUGAUGGAGGGACGCAGAAGGGUAUGUGCGCGGACGAACGGAAGUGUCCGUAGAAGUAUGUAGGAUGACUUGAUAGGUAAAUCCAUUGAGUUAUAUCUGAGGUAUGAUAUACAGUCGUAAGAUGAAUGUGCAAAUCCCACGCUGCCAAGAAAAGCUUCUAACGUUAAUAUUUGACUGCCCGUACUGCAAACCGACACAGGUGGUCAGGAUGAGAAAUCUAAGGCGGACAGGCUAACUCUCGUUAAGGAACUCUGCAAAAUAACCUCGUAACUUCGGGAGAAGAGGAGCCCUUGAGGGUCAGUAUCCACGCGAUACAAAGCGCUCGAGGGUCGCAGUGAAGAGGCUCAAGCAACUGUUUAACAAAAACACAGGUCUAUGCUAAGCUGGAAGGCGAUGUAUAUGGGCUGACACCUGCCCAGUGCUGGAAGGUUAAGAGGAGGAGUGAGAGCUCCGAAUUGAAGCCCCAGUGAACGGCGGCCGUAACUAUAACGGUCCUAAGGUAGCGAAAUUCCUUGUC